UAGUGGUUAGCCAAAUGGUAAGGCAUUAAGUUUUGAUCUUAAUUAUUACAGGUUCAAUCCCUGUACCUCUAG
rnacentral:tRNA from 1 species